ACCUAUCUAGCUCGGUUGGUAAAGCACAAGGCUAUUAACCUUGUGGUUGUGGGUUCGAGCCACACAGUGGGUG
rnacentral:tRNA from 1 species